rnacentral:tRNA from 1 species
GGUAAAAUGGCCGAGUGUUUAGGCGGUAGGCUGUAGUCCUACUUAGGAAGGUUUAACUCCUUUUUUUAUCA